rnacentral:rRNA from 1 species
UACGUAGGGUGCAAGCGUUAAUCGGAAUUACUGGGCGUAAAGCGUGCGCAGGCGGUUUUUUAAGUUUGUUGUGAAAUCCCCGGGCUUAACCUGGGAAUGGCGAUGGAGACUGCAAGGCUAGAGUUUGGCAGAGGGGGGUAGAAUUCCACGUGUAGCAGUGAAAUGCGUAGAGAUGUGGAGGAACACCGAUGGCGAAGGCAGCCCCCUGGGUCAAAACUGACGCUCAUGCACGAAAGCGUGGGGAGCAAACAGG